rnacentral:rRNA from 1 species
GAGUUUGAUCAUGGCUCAGAUUGAACGCUGGCGGCAGGCCUAACACAUGCAAGUCGAACGGUAACAGGAAACAGCUUGCUGUUUCGCUGACGAGUGGCGGACGGGUGAGUAAUGUCUGGGAAACUGCCUGAUGGAGGGGGAUAACUACUGGAAACGGUAGCUAAUACCGCAUAACGUCGCAAGACCAAAGAGGGGGACCCUCGGGCCUCUUGCCAUCGGAUGUGCCCAGAUAGGAUUAGCUUGUUGGUGGGGUAGCGGCUCACCAAGGCGACGAUCCCUAGCUGGUCUGAGAGGAUGACCAGCCACACUGGAACUGAGACACGGUCCAGACUCCUACGGGAGGCAGCAGUGGGGAAUAUUGCACAAUGGGCGCAAGCCUGAUGCAGCCAUGCCGUGUGUAUGAAGAAGGCCUUCGGGUUGUAAAGUACUUUCAGCGGGGAGGAAGGGAGUAAAGUUAAUACCUUUGCUCAUUGACGUUACCCGCAGAAGAAGCACCGGCUAACUCCGUGCCAGCAGCCACGGUAAUACGGAGGGUGCAAGCGUUAAUCGGAAUUACUGGGCGUAAAGCGCACGCAGGCGGUUUGUUAAGUCAGAUGUGAAAUCCCCGGGCUCAACCUGGGAACUGCAUCUGAUACUGGCAAGCUUGAGUCUCGUAGAGGGGGGUAGAAUUCCAGGUUUAGCGGUGAAAUGCGUAGAGAUCUGGAGGAAUACCGGUGGCGAAGGCGGCCCCCUGGACGAAGACUGACGCUCAGGUGCGAAAGCGUGGGGAGCAAACAGGAUUAGAUACCCUGGUAGUCCACGCCGUAAACGAUGUCGACUUGGAGGUUGUGCCCUUGAGGCGUGGCUUCCGGAGCUAACGCGUUAAGUCGACCGCCUGGGGAGUACGGCCGCAAGGUUAAAACUCAAAUGAAUUAACGGGGGCCCGCACAAGCGGUGGAGCAUGUGGUUUAAUUCGAUGCAACGCGAAGAACCUUACCUGGUCUUGACAUCCACGGAAGUUUUCAGAGAUGAGAAUGUGCCUUCGGGAACCGUGAGACAGGUGCUGCAUGGCUGUCGUCAGCUCGUGUUGUGAAAUGUUGGGUUAAGUCCCGCAACGAGCGCAACCCUUAUCCUUUGUUGCCAGCGGUCCGGCCGGGAACUCAAAGGAGACUGCCAGUGAUAAACUGGAGGAAGGUGGGGAUGACGUCAAGUCAUCAUGGCCCUUACGACCAGGGCUACACACGUGCUACAAUGGCGCAUACAAAGAGAAGCGACCUCGCGAGAGCAAGCGGACCUCAUAAAGUGCGUCGUAGUCCGGAUUGGAGUCUGCAACUCGACUCCAUGAAGUCGGAAUCGCUAGUAAUCGUGGAUCAGAAUGCCACGGUGAAUACGUUCCCGGGCCUUGUACACACCGCCCGUCACCAUGGGAGUGGGUUGCAAAAGAAGUAGGUAGCUUAACCUUCGGGAGGGCGCUUACCACUUUGUGAUUCAUGACUGGGGUGAAGUCGUAACAAGGUA